GACAAAGGUGGCGAGCGUUACUCGGAAUUACUAGGCGUAAAGCGUGAGCAGGCGGUUCGGCAAGUCCGUUGUGAAAGCCCCGGGCUCAACCCGGGGAGGCCAAUGGAUACUGCCGGACUUGAAUACGGGAGAGGUUACUGGAAUUCCUGGUGUAGCGGUGAAAUGCGUAGAUAUCAGGAGGAACACCGAAGGCGAAAGCAGGUAACUGGACCGUUAUUGACGCUGAGUCACGAAAGCCGGGGGAGCAAACAGG
rnacentral:rRNA from 1 species